rnacentral:rRNA from 1 species
UACGGGGGGGGCAAGCGUUGUUCGGAAUUACUGGGCGUAAAGGGCGCGUAGGCGGUUGGAUAAGUCAGCUGUGAAAACCACGGGCUUAACUCGUGGCCUGCAGUUGAGACUGUCUGGCUUGAGUGUGGGAGAGGAGAGUGGAAUUCCUGGUGUAGCGGUGAAAUGCGUAGAUAUCAGGAGGAACACCGGUGGCGAAGGCGGCUCUCUGGACCACAACUGACGCUGAGGCGCGAAAGCUAGGGGAGCAAACCGG